CGACUACGAGAGUCGGUCGCGGCUCCGUCCGUACCCUCCCGUCGGCGAAGUCACGCCCAUCCCGUCCCAACGGUAGCAGUAACUUCAGGAUUUGUGGCCGGGACAAGAGGACAAGGCUCCGACCCAGCGGGCAGAGUGGUCUGGCGACUCAGGUUGCCCAGGAUGGAGGAGAAAGGCGAGGUCCGGUUUGUGGCCAGCGAACAAGGUAGGUGAAUACUGAUUAGGUUCUUGAUUCAGAGUUCUGACGCUCAAUGAUUUUGCAUGCUUCACUGUUCGGACUGAGUUUACUAGGAAGCCUGUUCCCAAAAUGUACGUGCACACUGCACAGUAUUCCUCUGUGAU